UACGAAGGGGGCUAGCGUUGCUCGGAAUCACUGGGCGUAAAGCGCACGUAGGCGGAUUGUUAAGUCAGGGGUGAAAUCCUGGAGCUCAACUCCAGAACUGCCUUUGAUACUGGCGAUCUUGAGUCCGGGAGAGGUGAGUGGAACUGCGAGUGUAGAGGUGAAAUUCGUAGAUAUUCGCAAGAACACCGGUGGCGAAGGCGGGUCUCUGGGCCGAUACUGACGCUGAGGAGCGAAAGCGUGGGGAGCAAACAGG
rnacentral:rRNA from 1 species